AGUAUCAGGGACAAUCCUAGGAGUCAGCCAUGAUAAGGACGUAAGUUUAUCACAAGUUACCUAAAAGUAUUCAAAGAACAGCUCAUCCUGCUGGGCAAAAAACCUAAAGUGACAAGAAGGAUGCACAAGAUGAGCGAGUAAUCUCCACACAGCAGUACCCUAACUGUGAAUCAAAGAGCCAUUUCACAGAUGGGCUUACAGAGGAGAAGAACAAACAUUCUGUAAUUUCCUUUAAUUUACUAUUGGCAUGAAGACUUAUCUUACUCAACUGGAAGAACCCUAAUCCACCUCUGUUAAAUCAAUGGUUAGGUGUUGCCACAGCGGAUCAUCUACGUUGUCC